rnacentral:rRNA from 1 species
UACGUAGGGUGCGAGCGUUGUCCGGAAUUAUUGGGCGUAAAGGGCUUGUAGGCGGUUUGUCGCGUCUGCUGUGAAAUCCCAUGGCUCAACUGUGGGCUUGCAGCCGAUACGGGCGGGCUAGAGUUCGGUAGGGGAGACUGGAAUUCCUGGUGUAGCGGUGAAAUGCGCAGAUAUCAGGAGGAACACCGGUGGCGAAGGCGGGUCUCUGGGCCGAUACUGACGCUGAGGAGCGAAAGCGUGGGGAGCGAACAGG